GCGAAAGUGGCGGAACUGGCAGACGCGCGGGAUUUAGGAUCCCGUGGGAGACCGUGGGGGUUCGAAUCCCCCCUUUCGCACCA
rnacentral:tRNA from 1 species